CACGAGUCUCACGAGCUCUGAGGCUAGAGCCAGACUCAGGACAGGCAGCACUUUUUGAAGGCCUGGGUCCUCAGACCUCACCAGCACUUCAGAAGGAGCAGAGAGAACACGGACCAGCUGCCCGAGAGGCAAGGAGGACAGUUGGGGACCCGGGCCCUGCAGAGGCCUGCUAAGGACCCUUCACCACAGUGACCUGUGCCUGAGGAGGCUCCAGGGACCCACUGCUGGCUUCUAAAGCAUCAGCUUCUUACUUGCAGUGACCUUCCGAGUGUGCCGCCUGCCCCGGUUAAUAGCCUUAAGAGCCUUCCUUUGCUGCACUGCUUAAAACUAUUUUAUUCGUUUACAUAGAAAGUUGCUUAUUUUACUUAGCUUUCUAAUAAUCUGAGACCUGCGGCCUCUAGUUUACAACUUGAUCCAUUUUUAACCACCUUAAUCUCCUUCCUGUCGUCGUCUAGAAUUUUCCCCUUAGCUUUUCGUCUUCCAUCUGUAAAAUUUCCCUCGUUCCUUUUGGUGUGACUUACAAAUCCUUUUAGUUUCCUGAAGCUGACACCCUUUUAUCAUCCACAUCUUAAUUUUUACUUCCCUGAAUACAUUUAUUCAUAAAAACAAAUUACUACCCUUUAACAUCUCCUUCUUACAUUUUGUUCGUCUUAAUCUCUUUACUUGUCGUUGUUCCUUUUAGUUUCUUAGUUGGGUUAAUAUCUGCUUUCUCUUUUAGCUCUGGCUUGUAAGAGACAGCCAAGAUGUGUGUGUGUCCCGGGCGAGAGGAUGGGGAGGGAGUGCAGGCCGGGAGUGAGGGCCGGGGCCAGGGAUCUCUAGCUGCAGCCAACUGCGCUCUGGCUCCCCUUUGCACAGCUUCCAUCCUCUUAGCCACAGUCUCAAUCUAUGAGGACCGAGGUGCUGGUGCUGCUCCCCAGGGCAAUGACUUAACCCGGCAGGCGGUACACUUGAAUGCAUUCAUUUAACAGAUACCUGGUGCCGCUGUGGGAACAAGGUGCCUCCCUCCCUGGCUUGUUCUGGUGGUGGCCGGACAAAAGCAAGCCUCCAGAGGUGAUGGGAGCCAGAAAGGACCUUUAAUAAAAUUUAAUAAAACAUGAGGCACAGGCCAAAGAAAGAAGUGAGUUGCAGGAGGUUAGUGGGCUUAGCAGAGAAGAUGGAAGAGCCCGAUCCUGAUUUCUCUCUCUCUAAAGACAGGCGGAGUCCCUUCUGCAUCAGCUGAUGGUGCCUGGGGACAGAAAGCCAGGGAAGGUCUGAGGCAGGAGGCCUCAAGGACUUUGCAAGGAGCCUUGCACUUUGUGCUUCUGUGAUAAACACUCAUAACCAUUUACUUCCCUUUGCUCUUCUGUUGUUUGUCUCUUUGGUUCCAUGGGACUUCUGGAAAUAAAAAUUGUUGGAAAAUUCCAUUUGGAAAGAAUUACCAGAAUGGUGUUGAUGUGCCACUUGUAUACUAACCACUUCCCCUUGUCAGGCACGAAAACAUGAAAAUCACGUACAAACAAACACAAGAAAGGGUCUGUGCCUCCCGGAGUGAUUGGACGGUGGGCAGGCCGUGGACGGCCCCUGCUUCCCUAGGAUGAGAGGUGGCCAUGUUCUGCCCUCUCCUCUCAUGGGGAGGUCAGCGCAGCGAUCCUGCAAGAACAGGAAGGGACACGAGACUGCACGAGGUUGGAGCAGCCAUAAAGCAGAAAGCUUCUCUCUCUUUGUGGGCACGUGCUGUAGGUUGGUCAGUGUGGAGAAGCCCCAAGAGCGUCGUAACUAUUCAGCAAGCUUCGCAGACCAGUGAGCAUCCUUGGCCAUCCCAGGAGUCUCCCUCUGCCUGCAGGACCCCCGGAGCCUUAGCUGGGCAGGAAUGUAUUCCUGGAAGUCUACCUUUAGAUCCUUGGUUAGGGCUACAAAGUCAAGCAAGGGUCUGUCUACAUGAGGGCCCCAGUGGGCAAACAAGGCAAGAUGUCCUCCAAGUGGGCAAGGCCUGCCACAACCUGGGAAGCCAGCCGGCCGCCGGAAUCUAGCUGGAUCCCCUUCUUCGGCAAAAAUGUCAGACAAGGCUGGCCAGGCCAGCGGGCGACUCCAGGCUUGGGCUGGGAGGGAACAGGCUUGUCAGAGGGGGAAGGUCAGAAGACAAGCAGGGAGCAAUGAUGACAGGCCCCUGUGAAGUGCACAGGGAGGCCCGGCCCCUUGCAGGGCCCAGGACAGAACUCAUGAGGGGGACGCUCCACCCGGACCUCCGGGCAGUGCCUCUGGUUUGACUUUAGGAAGAGGCCCAGGGCUAAGUCUUCCGUGAGGUCUCCAGGAAAGAAGGCCAUAUAGAGGAUGCAGAGGCACAGCCCCGAGACCUUUUCUGAAGGGGCCCUGCCUCCUCUCCCUCCUUGCAAGGCCACUAGAGGGUCCUUAUGGGGUGGGGGCUUCUGCAGAGGAUGGGGGAGAAGUCAGGUGGGGCUCUCCCUCUUGCUUCAGCAUUCACACCAAUACUGGACCCCGUGGCUGGCCCCUCUGGAAUGCUCAGAGCCUUGGAGAAAUGGGCUCCUGCGGCAUCUUCCCAUCCUAAGUCUCACCUCUUCUUGCAAGGGCGUCACACUUCCGGUGGCCUCCCAAUUGCCUUUUCUCAGUUGGUCCCAUUACAUGCACAUUUAGCUUAAGCAAAUUCAACCGUAGGUGCUCAGAGAAAACUUUAAAUGAAAAACAAUGUAAAUAAAGUGUGUGGUUCUGCCAGCCCUUCCCCGCAAUAAGCAUAUGCCCCAGAGAGCGGAUCUGCCAACGUUUGCAUCCAGUUCUGAGCCUCUCCGAGGUGUGAGCAUCUCGCACACCAGUGUUUAGAGUGACAAUACAUCUUUUUUCAUACAACAUGACCUCGAAACGCAAGCCAAGCCGAUUGCUUCCUCUGGUGCUCAGCCACAGGGACGGCCAUCUGUCCCAAUGCUGCAGGAAAACUGGCUGUGUGGUGUUUACAAGAGGCUGUAUUUCAGACGCCAGACUCCCAUCUCCCUGGAGAAGUCUUUUUUCCCAAGGUAAUUUUGGUUAGACUCGAUUUUCUCCUUAAUGUUGACUUGAGAAUCUACCUAACUGCCGUCUGAAAUGCUACUCCACUCUGGCUCUCUUCCUACUAAGCUGCGAGCUCCUUGAAAGGUGGGCCAUGUCUGCUUCAUGUUUCCAAUCCCAGCACAUGCCUGGCACACAGUAGACAUGGCAUCAUGCAGGAAUGAAGAGGCCAGAGCCUCCCCGAGGAUGGGUUCCUGGCCAUUCUCACUCAUUUCCCUAAGGAUGGGCAGAUUGAGAUCUCCGAGGAUGAUUUGAUUCCACUUCAGAUCGGGAUGAAGAUGAUGCAGCACCUAUCUAUCUCUGCUGUUUUCACCCACGAUACCUUCUCAUCUUUCUUUGGAGGGUCUCUGACAAUUUUCUUUUGGUGGCAAAUGCUGAACGGCUGACACACACAGGGACUGCUCCAUGCUGUCAACUCCAGCUUUUCGUAAGAACUGCCCCGGCACAUAGUAGGCAGCACCAAGUUGGGACGAAUGAAAUAAGAACUUGAGGGAGAACACCUGGGGCUGUUCGCGUUCACAAACCCCUUGGGACUUCAGACUGAUUCUGAAGACCACCAGGAGAGAAUUUCUAAAUGAAGAAAGGCAACAUUGGGCUUAUUAAAAAGCCUCCUCCUUGCAGAGUAGAAGGAUCCUUCUAUCUCACCAGAAAAUGUGCCAUUUCAGAAGAAAGCUAAGUUGUUUUUCCUAUGAUGACAAAAUGAAAUGUUCCUUUGUCAAGAAGGAGCAAGCCUCAGAAAAGAGAGCCCCUCCCUGCCCAGCCGUGAGGAGCGAUUUUGCUACAAUAUCUGUCCAUUUUAAGAUCAAUACAAAUUAUUCACGUGAUUUGAGAGCAGCGGUGGAAGGCAAUUCUUCUGGGGAGAGAUUUCCAGAUUGUGUUUUAAGUCCUGGAGGCUGUUUCCCAAGACAGAACUGGACCUUCUCAAUGACUGCGACCUCGUUAUUCUGGAAUAACAUGUUAUUAUGGGACAUCAUUAUGCUUCAUCCUGACCCCAUGAAGUUUAUGAGACAGGCCCAAUUAUUGAGCCAUAUGGCAAAGAGAUAUUUGGGAGCAGCAGCCCAAAGCUACUGGAGGAGAGGAGAAGGGAGGAGGAAGCGUCUGGGCAUGCGAGCAGCAGGAGGUGAGGUUACAGAGCUGUCGAAAUCUCUCCUGCCUGGACCAAAGGAGAGUGACAAAUGCAGCAGAAUGUCAGGCCGGGAGGCAGAAAGGGAGUGUUCCUGACAGUGGCUCCACGGAGUAGCCAGCACAUGCCGAACCACAGCCUCUCUGCGGAGGCAGAUGGAGCACAGGUGAGAAAUAUAAAUGAAUGCACAAUCUGGACCCCUGGGAAACUGUUUCACACCUACGGAGGACCCCGCAUCAUUUGGGCCAAAAAAGCAACAUCUCGUUUAUCUGAAAGCCAUUUAGAUGGCAAUCUCAAAAUCUAGAAAGGCAGUUAAAAUGUUCUCUGAGGAGUUAAAAAAUGUCACCAAAUCUGUGCACAGAAAUCCAUGUACAUUGCUCUUCAGGGCCUAUUUACUUUUCCUUUACACAGAAUUCCACUAAAUUUGGUUGCCCGGGCUGGGAGUGGUGGCUCCCGCCUGCAAUCCCAGCACUUUGGGAGGCGGAGGUGGGAGGAUCACAUGAGAU